CCUCCUCCUACGACGGACUACCUACCACUAGACCACGACGGAACGGUGAACUACGUACUUGCUACGACUGCUUUUUUAAUACGGAGUAUUUUUAUGUAUGUAAUAUAAGAACAAAACACACCGUAUGUAUGGAUGUAUAUGUAUACGAUCAUAUACUAACUCGAUAUCGAGUAGAAUUCGGAACUAAUUCCGUUAUCAUCACCGGUCCACUAUUUUCCUUCAGUAAGACAGUUGAUGGAAUACAUUAUGGGGGAGUUAGAUCUUAAUGAAUGUCGUUUUUACCUACGUAGAUUUACGUAAAAUCAAGAUCUAUAUAGGUAAAGAUACUGUUCAUUAAGGUCUACCUACUUAUACUAAAGAUUGACGUUCUAGACUGUGAACCUUCCUUUGGUUAGUUAUUUUCACCCAGGAGUGUACUAUCUCUAUCGAAUCUUCCUUGAUAACAUUCAGACGU
rnacentral:rRNA from 1 species